AGGGAUAAAAUGUAGCAAGUUCCCGUAGGUGACCGCGGAAGGAUCAUUAAAGAGAGCCUAAAAAACUCCCUAAACCCCCAUGUGAACCCUUACCUUUAAGGCCGUCACCCAGUGGCGGCCGACCCGUUGCCUCGGCGCGUCUCCCAGGGCGCGCCAGAGGAUCCGAACCCCUAAACUUUAUUUUUUUAUAGUAUCUCUGAGGCCUAACGGCAAUCUUAACAACUUUCAACCAACGGAUCUCUUGGCUCUGGCAUCGAUGAAGAACGCAGCGAAAUGCGAUAAGUAUUGUGAAUUGCAGAAUCCAGUGAAUCAUCGAAUCUUUGAACGCACAUUGCGCCCGCCGGCAUUCCGGCAGGGCAUGCCUGUUCGAGCGUCAUUUCAACCCUCAAAUCCUCCUGGAUUUGGUGAUGAGGCGUCUCCUAUCCUCUCUGCUUCGAGAGAGGGAGAGGCCUUCAAAUUUAUAGGCGGGUCUUUUAGGACUCUCAGCGCAGUAAAACAUGCUAUCGCUGGGUCCGGACUAUGGGAUUCUCCAGCCUUUAAACCUACCCUAACAAAAAGGUUGACCUCGGAUCAGGUAGGAAUACCCGCUGAACUUAAGCAUAUCAAUAAGCGGAGGAAAAGAAACCAACAGGGAUUGCCUUAGUAACGGCGAGUGAAGCGGCAACAGCUCAAAUUUGAAAUCUGGCCCUCUUUCAGGGGGUCCGAGUUGUAAUUUGCAGAGGAUGCUUUCGGCGAGGCGCUGACCGAGUCCCCUGGAAUGGGGCGCCACAGAGGGUGAGAGCCCCGUAUGAUCAGAUGCCGAGCUGGUGUAAAGCUCCUUCGACGAGUCGAGUAGUUUGGGAAUGCUGCUCUAAAUGGGAGGUAAAUUUCUUCUAAAAGCUAAAUACCGGCCAGAGACCGAUAGCGCACAAGUAGAGUGAUCGAAAGAUGAAAAGCACUUUGAAAAGAGAGUUAAAAAGCACGUGAAAUUGUUGAAAGGGAAGCGCCCAUGACCAGACCUGAUCUCAGGGGAUCACCCCGCCGUUUCUCGGCGGUCCACUCCCCUGGUGUUUUCAGGCCAGCAUCGGGUUUUCUCCGGGGGGAUAAAAGCGCCGGGAACGUGGCUCCUCUCGGGGAAGUGUUAUAGCCCGGCGUAUAAUGUCUCGGGGGGGGAACCGAGGAACCGCGCCUAGUGCAAGGAUGGUGUGAUGGUCCCCGGAACCUUUUUAAAA
rnacentral:rRNA from 1 species